UCGGGAAUUUUGGGCAAUGGGGGAAACCCUGACCCAGCAACGCCGCGUGAGGGAUGAAGGCCUUCGGGUCGUAAACCUCUGUCGGGAGGGAAGAACGGUGCCCGGUCCAAUAGGCCGGGUAUUUGACGGUACCUCCAAAGGAAGCACCGGCUAACUCCGUGCCAGCAGCCGCGGUAAUACGGAGGGUGCGAGCGUUGUCCGGAAUCACUGGGCGUAAAGGGCGCGUAGGCGGCCCGGUAAGUAGGGGGUGAAAUUCCACGGCUCAACCGUGGACCGGCCUCCUAAACUGUCGGGCUUGAGCACGGUAGAGGCAGAUGGAAUUCCCGGUGUAGCGGUGGAAUGCGUAGAUAUCGGGAGGAACACCAGUGGCGAAGGCGACUUUCUGGCACAUUCCUGACGCUGAGGAGCGAAAGCGUGGGUAGCGAACGGGAUUAGAUACCCCGGUAGUCCACGCCGUAAACGAUGGAUACUAGGUGUAGGAGGUAUCGACCCCUUCUGUGCCGGAGUUAACACAUUAAGUAUCCCGCCUGGGGAGUACGGUCGCAAGGCUG
rnacentral:rRNA from 1 species